rnacentral:rRNA from 1 species
AGUGAACGCUGGCGGUAGGCCUAACACAUGCAAGUCGAACGGCAGCACAGUAAGAGCUUGCUCUUACGGGUGGCGAGUGGCGGACGGGUGAGGAAUACAUCGGAAUCUACUUUUUCGUGGGGGAUAACGUAGGGAAACUUACGCUAAUACCGCAUACGACCUACGGGUGAAAGCAGGGGAUCUUCGGACCUUGCGCGAUUGAAUGAGCCGAUGUCGGAUUAGCUAGUUGGCGGGGUAAGGGCCCACCAAGGCGACGAUCCGUAGCUGGUCUGAGAGGAUGAUCAGCCACACUGGAACUGAGACACGGUCCAGACUCCUACGGGAGGCAGCAGUGGGGAAUAUUGGACAAUGGGCGCAAGCCUGAUCCAGCCAUACCGCGUGGGCGAAGAAGGCCUUCGGGUUGUAAAGCCCUUUUGUUGGGAAAGAAAAGCAGCAGGUUAAUACCCCGCUGUUCUGACGGUACCCAAAGAAUAAGCACCGGCUAACUUCGUG